UCUGUCCUCAGGGAAGAACACCCUAGUCGUAAAUAACGGCUAGGUUUGACGGUACCUGUGGAGGAAGCUCCGGCUAACUACGUGCCAGCAGCCGCGGUAAUACGUAGGGAGCAAGCGUUGUCCGGAAUUAUUGGGCGUAAAGGGUGUGUAGGCGGUCUAGUAAGUCAAAUGUGAAAUUCAUCGGCUCAACCGAUGAACUGCCUUUGAAACUACUAGACUUGAGGGUAAGAGAAGAGAGUAGAAUUCCUAGUGUAGCGGUGAAAUGCGUAGAUAUUAGGAAGAAUACCAGUGGCGAAAGCGACUCUCUGGCUUACUCCUGACGCUGAGACACGAAAGCUAGGGUAUCAAACCGGAUUAGAUACCCGGGUAGUCCUAGCCGUAAACGCUGGAUACUAGGUGUUGGAGGUUCGACUCCUUCGGUGCCGAAGUUAACGCAAUAAGUAUCCCGCCUGGGGAUUACGACCGCAAGGUUGAAACUCAAAGGAAUUGACGGGGGCCCGCACAAGCGGCGGAGCAUGUGGUUUAAUUCGAAGCAACGCGAAGAACCUUACCAGGGUUUGACAUCCCGUGACCACCUAUGAAAGUAGGAUUUGAUCUUUUGAUCACACGGAGACAGGUGGUGCAUGGCUGUCGUCAGCUCGUGUCGUGAGAUGUUGGGUUAAGUCCCGCAACGAGCGCAACCCUUAUUCUUAGUUGCCAGCACUUUUAGGUGGGGACUCUAAGGAGACUGCCAGUCAAAAAACUGGAGGAAGGUGGGGAUGACGUCAAGUCAUCAUGCCCCUUAUACUCUGGGCUACACACGUGCUACAAUGGACUGUACAGAGGGUCGCUACACCGCAAGGUGAUGCUAAUCUCUAAAACAGUUCCCAGUUCGGAUUGCAGGCUGCAACUCGCCUGCAUGAAGUUGGAGUCGCUAGUAAUCGUGGAUCAGAAUGCCGCGGUGAAUACGUUCCCGGGCCUUGUACACACCGCCCGUCACACCACCCGAGUUGGAUGCACCAGAAGUCAUCA
rnacentral:rRNA from 1 species